GCCUGGGUGGCUCAGUUGGUUGAGUGUCUGACUUCGGUUCAGGUCAUGAUCUCAUGGUUUGUGGGUUCGAGCCCCGCGUUGGGCU
rnacentral:tRNA from 1 species